rnacentral:rRNA from 1 species
ACGGGAGGCAGCAGGAGGGAAUAUUGCGCAAUGGAGGAAACUCUGACGCAGCGACGCCGCGUAUAGGAAGAAGGUUUUCGGAUUGUAAACUAUUGUCGUUAGGGAAGAAAAAAAUGACAGUACCUAAGGAGGAAGCACCGGCUAACUAUGUGCCAGCAGCCGCGGUAAUACAUAGGGUGCAAGCGUUAUCCGGAUUUAUUGGGUGUAAAGGGUGCGUAGGCGGGAAUUUAAGUUAGUUGUGAAAUCCCUUGGCUUAACUGAGGAACUGCAACUAAAACUGUAUUUCUUGAGUGUCGGAGGGGAAAGUGGAAUUCCUAGUGUAGCGGUGAAAUGCGUAGAUAUUAGGAGGAACACCGGUGGCGAAGGCGGCUUUCUGGACGAUAACUGCCGUUGAUGCACGAAAGUGUGGGGAGCAAACAGGAUUAGAUACCCUGGUA